rnacentral:rRNA from 1 species
CGGCGUGGAUUAGGCAUGCAAGUCGUGCGAGAAUCGCUUUCGGGCGAGGACAGCGGCGAAAGGGAGAGUAACGGGUGGUUACAUACCCUCAGGCUCGGGAUAGUGUCGGGAAACUGACAGUAAUACCGAAUAAUAUCUAAGGAUCAAAGGUGUGAUUCCGCCUGAGGAUUGGACCGCUUUCUAUUAGCUUGUUGGCGGGGUAAUGGCCCACCAAGGCUUAGAUGGAUACCGGGUGUGAGAGCAUGGCCCGGCUCACUGGGACUGAGACACUGCCCAGACACCUACGGGUGGCUGCAGUCGAGAAUCUUCGGCAAUGGGCGAAAGCCUGACCGAGCGACGCCGCGUGCGGGAUGAAGGCCUUCGGGUUGUAAACCGCUGUCAGUUGGGAGGAAAUAUUAGGGGGUACUCCCCUUAAUUUGACCGAUCUUCAGAGGAAGGACGGGCUAAGUUCGUGCCAGCAGCCGCGGUAAGACGAACCGUCCGAACGUUAUUCGGUAUUACUGGGCUUAAAGAGUUCGUAGGCGGCUCUGUAGGUGAGAUGUGAAAGCCCUCGGCUCAACCGAGGAACAGCGUUUCAAACCACAGGGCUUGAGGAUGGCAGGGGUAGUGGGAACUGAUGGUGGAGCGGUGAAAUGCGUUGAUAUCAUCAGGAACACCGGUGGCGAAAGCGCACUACUGGGCCAUUUCUGACGCUGA